GACGAACGCUGGCGGCGUGCCUAAUACAUGCAAGUCGAACGCACUCUCGUUUAGAUUGAGGGAGUUUGCUCCUGAUUGAUAAACAUUUGAGUGAGUGGCGGACGGGUGAGUAACACGUGGGUAACCUGCCCUAAAGUGGGGGAUAACAUUUGGAAACAGAUGCUAAUACCGCAUAAAACCUAACACCGCAUGGUGUAGGGUUGAAAGAUGGUUUCGGCUAUCACUUUAGGAUGGACCCGCGGUGCAUUAGUUAGUUGGUGAGGUAAAGGCUCACCAAGACCGUGAUGCAUAGCCGACCUGAGAGGGUAAUCGGCCACACUGGGACUGAGACACGGCCCAGACUCCUACGGGAGGCAGCAGUAGGGAAUCUUCCACAAUGGACGAAAGUCUGAUGGAGCAACGCCGCGUGAGUGAAGAAGGUUUUCGGAUCGUAAAACUCUGUUGUUGGAGAAGAAUGUAUCUGAUAGUAACUGAUCAGGUAGUGACGGUAUCCAACCAGAAAGCCACGGCUAACUACGUG
rnacentral:rRNA from 1 species